UACGUAGGGUGCAAGCGUUGUCCGGAAUUAUUGGGCGUAAAGAGCUCGUAGGCGGUCUGUCGCGUCUGCUGUGAAAACUCAGGGCUUAACCCUGAGCUUGCAGUGGGUACGGGCAGGACUAGAGUGCGGUAGGGGAGACUGGAAUUCCUGGUGUAGCGGUGAAAUGCGCAGAUAUCGAGGAGGAACACCGGUGGCGAAGGCGGGGUCUCUGGGCCG
rnacentral:rRNA from 1 species